UCCUCCUCCCUACUCCUUCCGCACGUCCGCUCCACCUGUCACCUGCACUGUCAGAUACAGGAAGUGACAUCAUAACCCUACACACGCUCACUCUCUCUCUCCAGACAGGAAGGGAGACGCUCCUGGGAUCACAUCGUUGUCUUCCAAACGGACGGCUCCAUGCCGCCGUUUCCACGGCAACCGUUCAUCUGGAGGGACCUGGGUGGAGGCAAGGAGGACCGCGCCCAGGUCCAGGUGGAGCGUUGAACCCGCGCGCUGUUACGCGUUGCCUCGCUCAAGUCAUAAAUUAACUCAGGGAAUAGAACCGCUGGCGAGCCGGCAAGUACCUCUUGGAGGUGGCUGGUGGUUCUGGUCAAGGACGCCCGGCUGACCGGUUCUACGGUAACCCCUGCAGACCGCUGGCUGCUUCCUCAUAAAGAAAACACCUGAAGCUUUCAGCGGUACACAACCAACCAAAGGUCAGAGAGAGAGAAGGGUAGAGACAGUGAGCGAGCGCGAAAGGGAGAGUGAGAGAAUCAACCAAAGGUCAGGACUCUCCUCUGAUGCAUCAUAUACCAGAGAGAGAGAAAGAGGGGGGGGGGGGAGACAGACCCUGACAUGGUCAGUCUAUGAGGGUCAUCCAUUCAUCUCCUGGUAGAGCAGUAAAUACUGACCUCUCCUUUUACCCGGAGAGCUCUGAGAAGCCAGUUAAGGCGGUAAACUGGCGUGAUCUUAUUUCCUUCAUUUGUUCGAGAGACAGCUAAUCACUGCUUCCCUCGAGUAACUUAUCUCGUGUGUGUGUGUGUGUGUGUGUGCGAUUGUGUUACAGUGUCUGUGUGCAUGCGUGAGUGUGUGUUACAGUGUGUGUGUGUGUGUGUGUGUGUGUGUGUUACAGUGUGCACAUCAUUUAACAACAAACAACAUUUCAUGAGCAGCUGUAACGACAGGUGGUCCUCUUCAGAACCUCAGCACUGAUCAAGAAGAUCUGGACAUGUUCUUCAGAGUACAGCAUAGAUAGAAGAGUACAACAGUAUGAGUAGUAGAGUACCACAGAACCAGUGCUGGAGUAGUACAGUACCACAGUACCAGUACUAGAGUAGUACAGUACCACAGUAACAGUACUACCGAGAUCGUACCAGGGUUCUGGUGCAUGAGAAACCAAAGGAUGUCACCUUGAUGUAAGCUGCUGGAUUCUGUCAGCGCAUCGACUUCCCAUUCUCUCCUGAUCCAGUCCUAUCCAGUCUUAUCCAGACCUGAUCCAGUCUCGAUCCAGUCCUGAUCCAGUCCUAACCAGAUCUGAUCCAGUCCUUACUGUCCUAAAGAGUAUUGCUGGUGUGUUUCAGAGCUCCAACGUCCCCACUCUGAAGUUGAGGUGUGUUUCAGAGCUCCAACGUCCCCACUAUGAAGGUGAGGUGUGUUUCAGAGAUCCACUCUGAAGGGAGGUGUGUUUCAGAGCUGCAACGUCCCCACUAUAUAGGUGAGGUGUGUUUCAGAGCUCAAACAUCCCCACUCUGAAGGUGAGGUGUGUUUCAGAGCUCCCCUCUGAAGGUGAGGUUGGUUUCAGAGCUCCCCUCUGAAGGUGAGGCUGGUUUCAGAGCUCCAACGUCCCCACUAUGUAGGUGAGGUGUGUUUCAGAGCUCAAACGUCCCCACUAUGUAGGUGAGGUGUGUUUCAGAGUUCCCCUCUGAAGGGGAGGUGUGUUUCCAGCCCCUUUGGGUGGGUUGUGCUGUACGUAGGAGGUCCCCUUGUGACGGAUCUGUUCCUUGUGGAGGAACCUCCGCCGUGCUCGUACGCGUGUGUGCUUAAAGUCCUGAUCCAGCUGGAAUGCUAAUGAAACCUGGGGGAAGCAGCAUGAAGGCCCAGCUUCUGGUCCAACCUAAAGCUAGAACUGGACUGGAUUCAAACUAAAGCUAGGAAAAGCGUCGGGGGCUCGGAGAGACCUCUGUCGUCGGCCGGCAGAGUUGGGUUCCUUGACGUGGCAGCUCGGACGCUGCCCGGUUCUCCUGGUCCGGCUCGGGGGAAGGGGGGGGGGGGGUCCUCACACGUCAUGGGAGGGGAGGUCAGGGAUGGAGCUCCGUGCUCUGGUGAGGAACGCCAUCUUAU
ensembl:lncRNA